rnacentral:rRNA from 1 species
GACGUAGGGCGCGAGCGUUGUCCGGAUUUAUUGGGCGUAAAGAGCUCGUAGGCGGCUUGUCGCGUCGAAUGUGAAAACUCGGGGCUCAACCCCGCGCUUGCAUUCGAUACGGGCAGGCUCGAGUUCGGUAGGGGAGACUGGAAUUCCUGGUGUAGCGGUGAAAUGCGCAGAUAUCAGGAGGAACACCGGUGGCGAAGGCGGGUCUCUGGGCCGGUACCGACGCUGAGGAGCGAAAGCGUGGGGAGCGAACAGG